UCAUACAGAUGAUCCAUGUUACAAUAUAAACUGUGGUGUUGGUACCUGUUCUGAUGGAACCUGCUCCUGUCCAGGUGGAUACUCUGGAAGUAUUUGUCAAACUUAUGAUCCAUGUUACGGUGUAAGCUGUGGUGUUGGUACCUGCUCCGGUGGAACAUGUUCAUGCCCAGGUGGUUACUCCGGAAGUAGUUGUCAAACCUAUGAUCCAUGUUACAAUAUAAACUGUGGUGUUGGUACCUGUUCUGGUGGAACCUGCUCAUGUCCAGGAGGAUACUCUGGAAGUAUUUGUCAAACUUAUGAUCCGUGUUACAAUGUUAAUUGUGGAGUCGGUACUUGCUCUGGUGGAACGUGUUCUUGUCCUGAUGGAUAUUCUGG